rnacentral:rRNA from 1 species
UACGUAGGGGGCUAGCGUUGUCCGGAAUCAUUGGGCGUAAAGAGCGUGUAGGCGGCUUUACAGGUCCGUUGUGAAAACUCGAGGCUCAACCUCGAGACGCCGGUGGAAACCGUAAAGCUGGAGUCCGGAAGAGGAGAGUGGAAUUCCCAGUGUAGAGGUGAAAUUCGUAGAUAUUGGGAAGAACACCGGUGGCGAAGGCGGCUCUCUGGACCGAGACUGACGCUGAGGCGCGAAAGCGUGGGGAGCAAACAGG